CUCUUGCUUCCUAGAGCGGCACUUCGUCAUUUUCACAUCCGUGCGAAAUCCCGAACGAACGGGCAGAGAGAGAGCCGCGUCGCCAUCUUUAGGAACGGUACCGACUGCCUCCGCUACCACCGCCUGCUUCGUUCCGACGAGCUUGAAAGUCAGUUUCGCGGUUACAGUAAAACGAUCGGUGUGUUCAGUGCGAUAGCGCAUACGUUGAUACCUGUCACGGAGUGAGACGCGGGUAUUUAACCGUUUCGCGAUGUUCAUUUAAUAACGUCCGAGCCUCUGUCUCUCUCUGUGUGUGUGUGCGUGCCGUGUAAGUUCAGCAGACGACGUUUCCACAAGCGUGUACCGAGGGUUGAGAACGAUCCGAGGUCCGACGUCGUUCUUUGCGCUUCGUUCGAACCCCUGUUUAAAACUAUCAUCUAAUUACAGAUUCCGCCGCUUGGUACGUUCCACCGUGAAACAACCGGAGUGUGUAGUGUUUUGAUUUGUCCGAGCGAGUGGGGAACGAGCUACGUCCGACUUUGCGAGUGUUCCGAGGCUGCGUAUCGGAAGACAGGAAUAAAAAGAAAGGGAGAGGAAGUAUCGAGAGGUGGCCGUAGCGAACGACAGCGACGACGGUCUAGCACAAUUGACAGGAAAGAUGGCGCGAGGUGCGGGCGAGGAUUAAUGCUGACCCAUUUUUCCGCGCGAAAUCAUUCGUUCUUACUUUGUCGUACGAUAAAGGGACCACUAAAGUUAGAACAAAGUGCGAAUAGUAACUCAGUUCUAAUUAAGUGAAUCGAUCCGAAUAAGAAACCGAAUAAAAAUAAAAAGAAAAACGGUGGUGCACCGUACGCGUGUGCGUCCGAUUCUAAGUGUGAGUGUCCCUUUAGACGUGUGUGAAUCUUUUAGGGCCAGCAUUGACAGGCAUCCUGACGGACUACCUUAACUCAUUGGACGAACGGGGAGAGGACAAUAAAAAAGGAACGCGUGUGUGAAAGAAGACCGUGCAAAAGGUGUCUAAGAAGUGUUCAUAGAAGGUAGGAAACAAAUAUAUAUAUAUUCUGAAAAGGACCGGAGGUUGGCGGGGCCUUGACGGGCGCAACUGCGGUGGAAGACCAAAUCAAGACGAAGACGCAGUCUUCUGGAACUUCUCGAGCUGCGUAGAGCCCUGGCAGGCUCGGGUACGAGCGCGGCUGCUAAGAUGGGCAACAAUGCCGCGACCGCGAACAAAAAGGUUGACGCCGCCGAGAGCGUCAAGGAGUUUCUCGACAAGGCAAAGAAAGAGUUCGAGGACAAGUGGAAGAAGAACCCGACGAACACCGCCGAUCUCAAUGACUUCGAGCGUAUCAAGACGCUCGGGACCGGCUCGUUCGGCCGUGUCAUGAUAGUGCAACACAAGCCGACCAAAGAGUAUUACGCCAUGAAGAUACUCGACAAGCAAAAGGUCGUGAAACUCAAGCAGGUCGAACACACUUUAAAUGAGAAGAGGAUACUGCAAGCGAUCAGCUUUCCGUUCCUAGUAUCCUUGCGGUUUCACUUCAAGGAUAACUCGUACCUGUACAUGGUGCUCGAAUACGUCCCCGGUGGCGAGAUGUUCAGCCACCUGCGUAAGGUCGGCCGCUUCACGGAACCGCAUUCCCGUUUCUACGCGGCGCAGAUCGUGCUCGCGUUCGAGUAUCUCCACUACCUCGACCUGAUCUACAGGGAUCUGAAACCGGAGAAUCUGCUGAUCGACUCGCAGGGCUACCUGAAGGUCACGGAUUUCGGUUUCGCGAAAAGGGUGCAGGGCAGAACGUGGACCCUAUGCGGCACGCCUGAGUACCUAGCGCCCGAGAUCAUCCUCAGCAAAGGAUAUAACAAGGCUGUCGACUGGUGGGCGCUAGGCGUCCUCGUCUACGAGAUGGCCGCCGGUUACCCGCCGUUCUUUGCCGACCAGCCGAUACUAAUCUAUGAGAAGAUCGUCUCGGGGAAGCCCCGGUUCCCGUCGCAUUUCGGUUCCGAUCUAAAGGACUUGCUGCGGAACCUGCUGCAGGUCGACUUGACCAAGAGGUACGGCAACCUGAAGGCCGGCGUGAACGACAUCAAGGGUCACAAGUGGUUCGCCAGUACCGAUUGGAUAGCGGUCUUCCAAAAGAAAAUCGAGGCCCCGUUUAUACCGAAAUGCAAAGGGCCCGGGGACACCAGCAACUUCGACGACUACGAGGAAGAGACGCUCAGGAUUUCGCUGACCGAGAAGUGCGCCAAGGAAUUCGCCGAGUUCUGAAUUCCCGUGCGGACCGGGGAUGGAUACACGUGUCGCGUAUUUAUUCAUAUAUGCGAUGGUUCGUCGUCACUCGUUGGUCGCUUUUAUCGAGCGAGAGAAAUAUGAUAGAUGAAGAACAAUAGAACAAGCUGCACAAUGAGAGUCCGCAAACUUAGUGU